rnacentral:snoRNA from 1 species
CUUGAGGUACAUCCUCAUGGGUGUUUUUCUAUAGACCUACAUCAUCGGAAAUGCCUCAAAGAGUAAAUACGUGGUUUGCUUUCCUCGCAGAAUUAUGUUUAAAUCUGUGAGAACUAUAAGACAGGG